GGAAAGAUGAAAAGAACUUUGAAAAGAGAGUUAAACAGUACGUGAAAUUGUUGAAAGGGAAACGAUUGAAGUCAGUCAUACCAACGGGAAAUCAACCUUUUGAGUUUGGUCUUGUGGGUUUCGGAGAGUUUAAAAGCCUUCGGAUUCGUUAGGAUUGGGCUCUUUUGGUGUACUUUCUCGUACGGUUAGUCAACAUCGGUUUUGAAUGUCAUAAAAUGACUGGAGGAAUGUGGCUUCGAUCUCGUAUCGAAGUGUUAUAGCCUUUGGUAGAUGUGAUGUUCGAGUCCGAGGAUUGCAACGGAUACCCUUCUGGGCUAUUCGUCUGAUCUCUGAUACGUUGCCUUGAUGUCGAAAGCUUGCUUAUGAUGUUAGGGUAUUACGGUCAAAAGGUUAGAACGGAUUAAAUUCGUUAAGGAUGUUGACGUAAUGACUUUAAACGACCCGUCUUGAAACACGGACCA
rnacentral:rRNA from 1 species